rnacentral:lncRNA from 1 species
UAGAAUGGAAACAGAUCUUAUUGGCAUUUCAGAUUUGGAUUUAGUUUAUGGAAGAUUGGGGUUGACAUUCGAUUAGGGUUUAUAUUUCUAUGUAGGGCUUAGAGAUAAGUGGCUAGGUUUAGUUUAUGAAAGAUUGGGGUUGACAUUGAGUUAGGGUAUAUACUUCCAUGUAGGGUUUAGUAAAUUAAGAUUGAGAUAGGAUUAUGGUUAUAUUUCCGUGUAGGGUUUAGUGAUUACCUUCAUCCCUGUAAUCAUAGAUACCUCAAAAUUUGAACAAUAUAUAUGCAAUGUGCUAUAUCGUUUGUUACAUUUUCUAUUAUAUAUGAUCAUGUAGAAUGGAAAUGCAUGUUACU